rnacentral:rRNA from 1 species
GUAAGGAAUAUUGGUCAAUGGAGGAAACUCUGAACCAGCCAUCCCGCGUGCAGGAAGACGGCCCUCUGGGUUGUAAACUGCUUUUAUCUGGGAAGAAAAGCCGGCAUUCAUGCUGGUCUGACGGUACCAGAGGAAUAAGCACCGGCUAACUCCGUGCCAGCAGCCGCGGUAAUACGGAGGGUGCAAGCGUUAUCCGGAAUUACUGGGUUUAAAGGGUGCGUAGGCGGCGCUGUAAGUCAGGGGUGAAAGGUUUCGGCUUAACCGGAGAAUUGCCUUUGAUACUGCAGUGCUAGGAUUGGGUUGAGGUUGGCGGAAUGUGACAUGUAGCGGUGAAAUGCAUAGAUAUGUCAUAGAACACCGAUUGCGAAGGCAGCUAACUGGACCUUGAUUGACGCUGAGGCACGAAAGCGUGGGGAGCAAACAGGAUUAGAUACCCCAGUAGUCC